GACGAACGCUGGCGGCGUGCCUAAUACACGCAAGUCGAGCGAAUCAAUAGGAGCUUGCUCCUGUUGAUUAGCGGCGGACGGGUGAGUAACACGUGGGCAACCUGCCUGUAAGACUGGGAUAACACCGGGAAACCGGUGCUAAUACCGGAUAAUCCUUUUCCUCUCAUGAGGGAAAGCUGAAAGUCGGUUUCGGCUGACACUUACAGAUGGGCCCGCGGCGCAUUAGCUAGUUGGUGAGGUAACGGCUCACCAAGGCGACGAUGCGUAGCCGACCUGAGAGGGUGAUCGGCCACACUGGGACUGAGACACGGCCCAGACUCCUACGGGAGGCAGCAGUAGGGAAUCUUCCACAAUGGACGAAAGUCUGAUGGAGCACCGCCGCGUGAGCGAUGAAGGCCUUCGGGUCGUAAAGCUCUGUUGUUAGGGAAGAACAAGUACCGGAGUAACUGCCGGUACCUUGACGGUACCUAACCAGAAAGCCACGGCUAACUACGUGCCAGCCGCCGCGGUAA
rnacentral:rRNA from 1 species